AAGACUAUACUUUCAAAGAUCGUAUCUAUAUUCUGUUACUAGAGAAGAUUUUCUAAAAAUGUAGAGUACCCGAAACCACAAGGAGGAGGUGCAGUGUUCUCUCCUGAGCAUGAAGCUGACUUUGGGUGUUUUUUCUGUGACAGACAAUUGCCAUUGAUGAUCAUUCUUCUUCUCCUUUGGAGGAGAAAGAGGAAGAGGACCAGGUCUGAGUGAU